CUCUCCCGCAGUCUCCCUCUGUUCUUCAGCACAUUCUCGCACUAGAAUCAGAGCGCUCCAUCAACGGCAUUUUUGCCUCGUCCCGGCGAUGAAAAAAAGAGAAGAGAGGAGGACGACGAACUCUUAUAUCAUUGAGAUUGGUUCCGAUAACAGAGAGGGGAAGAACAAAGCAGUUGCUCAUGAUGGAGUGAUUGCUCAGGAGAAAGAAAAUCAGUUGGUCCUGUCAUUGAGGCCGGUGGGAUUUUCGCAUCUGCUAAGAAUACUGAAUGGUCCGAUUCAUGUAAAGUUCAUUGUAAACAAUUAGGGAUGCGUCACACAACCCACUAAGAUGGUAAUGGAGGACUGAUAGAGAUAAUAAAGUUUGAUGUCAAGGAAUCCAACUCUGGUUGCUACUUUCAAUACUAAACUAAUACUAAACUAGAAUGAAGGUUAAAGUUGAAAGGAGUUCAUGAGAAAGGAAUUAAAUUACAUUUUCUGUUUUAUGACUGUUUUAGGUAGUUAGGAAUGUUCUUUAUUUUAUUUUUAAUUAAAGCUUUCAUUGAGAUCAAGUGAAAGACGAAGAGGAACACUCCAUCUCAAGAGGAACCCAAUUGACCUAAAAAGGUGCUCCAAUCAAGCAAAAUAACA